GUGAGGUGGCUGCAGCUUACAACAAGCAACACGUCCUGGCAGCAAAGGGAAGGUGACGCUCCAACAAGCAAGCAUCAGCCCACACACGGUCCAGAGUAGCUGAAGGUGUCUCGGCCUGCACACAUUAACGGGUUUCACGCUUCUAGCUUGGAGAAUCCAGCAGCGUUGAUGAAGAGCUUCACACAUCCAGCCUUCACGGCCCAGCAGCUUGGACAUUCUCUGCCACAUCUCCACAUCGUCUAGCUUUGGAGCAGCUUACACGUCCAGCAAGGGGCUGCAAAGGAAAACUCCAUUAUGGGCUUGAAGUAGGUUGAUUAACGUCCAACACGGCCUGGGAAGCAUUGCUUCGUGGUGCACACAGCAGCUUUGAGACACAGCCUUCACGGCCUAGUCCAGCAUCGAGAAGGGCAUCAAGCUGCAGUAACACUGAGGAGAGGGAGGAUCCUUUAAAAAGGGCAUUGUUACAUUGGCGAGGGGGACACAGCCGACAGAGGGGGACUAUGGACUGUGGACGGAUUUUCUCUGGAAACAUGGUUUUAUUAGGUGAUUUUUGAUGAAUGAGAAGAGAGAGCUCACAGCCUUACGGAGCUUCCAGCAGCCACACUCAUUUCCUUUUCUUUUAGGCUUUUUCUUUAAACGUUUUUUUGAGAGGAGGGUUUGGAAAAAUUACACUGCUUUGCAUUGGUUGAAUGAAAUGUGCACAGUUACUCUUUCUUUUGAUUUUUGGUGAAAGCUGGAAUGUUUUCUUUUGUUUCUUAAUUGGAAGAAAACAGCGCGCGGUCUGUAUCAAGGAAAAUUUUGGAAACACAAAUUGGGACAUUGGGAUGGAGACAAAAUAAAUUCAAAACUCUCCACAAAAGAAGUGUGGACAACAAGAAGGGCACUAUGGUGAUUUUACCCUUUGAUGAAAAGGGGUGCAACAUGUUGAAUUGAGGGGUGCAAUCGGAUGCUGGGAUUUCAUAUUGCCGCUUAUUCCAUUUAAAUAGAAAGGGCCUGAAGGUGUCACGGCCUGACACAUGUCUAGCAAGGCUGCAACACUGGUUCAUUAAAAUAGAAGGAGCAAUGGCACAUGGAAAACAGUCAAUAAGUUCAAGAGAUGAACCAAAAGCAACAGAGUCUCACGGAUGCACACUAUCAGUGUUUCUCUCAAGUGUCUAGGUAAAUUAAUGUCACUCGAUGCACUCAAGAAAGCACACACAAACAGACUUGGCAAGCCUCCAAUAUCAACACUCACACACAUGUGCAUGUUCAAAUUAAAAGGUUUUUUCAUGGUUGUAACGGGGCCAAGGAUAAGGGAGGAUACAUCUAGAUAAGAAGAGCCUUCACAAGAGCAGCGACCUUCAUUUCUUCAUACGCCUACCAGCUGCACACGUCCAGCAAUAUCUUCAUACGGCCCAUGGGAAAUAGUUAAGAAAUUGACCCAAGUGUACAAGGGCAACAGUGAUCCAAGGGCUGAAACUCAUGCUCCUACUGCUGCACAAGUUGGCUUUAAUUUGAAUAUUUAAGAGAAAAAAAUAGUGUGGUGUGUCACGGUCCAGGCCUACACGUGAAUGGAGAAAACACAACAAAGUCCAGCAGCCUUGAUAAUAAUAUUCAGCAGCUUGAAAACAAUUGGAGGUGCACGGCCUGCAAACUGAAGCAUCAUACAUCCAUCUUCACGGGCCUGAACAUGUCCAGCGUUCCACACGCUCCAGCAACGUUCCCAGCAGCUUGGGUUGUUCAUCCGGCAACUUCCAGAAAUGCUUGGGAAGUGGUCUAAUUCAUCCAGCCUUGAGAGGUGGUGCAGUUGAAGCAUCACGGCCCAUGGCAACCAGCUACAGCAUGUGAUGGACUGAAGAAAAGCUGCACCCGAGGUAGCAAACAGCAGCACGUCACACAACUGAUUAUGGCCCAAACAGCUAGUCCAACAACCUCUUUACGGAGCAACACAUCACGGACUUGAGUGAAAGGGAAGCAACAUCCAGUGUGGGCUGAUUCAUCAAGCAGGCUGCUCAUCCAUGAAGUCACAUGUGUGCUUAAGUAUUUGGGAAACCAGCCACAAAGGAGGGUGCAGCUGCCACACCUCUUCUUCACAGCCCAGCUGUAGAGAGUCCAGUAAUGUAGGGUAGGUUGGAAUAAAAAGAGCAAUCGUCACAGGCCCAUACUUGGCAAACAUCCACGAGGCUUUGGAGUAGCAUGUCUCGGCCUGUUUCAGGAGCAGCAGCAUGUCACCAUCCUUUAACUAGCAGCAACUUUCAGGCUAAGGCAGCAUAUGCACUUGGGCUUGCGAAAGCAACUCAUUUUCAUUUUAAGCAGGAAGGGUGUCACGACCCAGCAUCAAAUAGAGAACUUCCAGCAGCUUUGGAGCAUCUCCAACUGUCCAACAUCACUUGAACAAGCAAAAAGGUUGCAACAAGCUGAUUCAAAUUAAAGCGAGGGCCUUAGAUAAUUUACUUGCAAGUCCAGCAGCUUGGGAUGUCCUGUAGCACGAAGCACACGUCCAGCAAAAGGCAUGAUGGGUUGAUUCAUGGGCUAACAAUCAACUGUGCACAUCAUGGAGAGAAGGAGGUGCACGCUCAAGAGCUAGAGCAGCAGCACCCCACGAGCAGUUGCAGCCCACACGAGAAGAUGUUGCUGUUACGGCCCAUGGCAGCUUUUGGAGAAGAAAGCAGCAUGCUAGCAGGUGUGUGCUUGGAUUAUUUGGUGCAGCAGCGUGUGUGAUCUUGAGCCGGGGGUUGUUUCAUUUGAGGGGUGCUGGCUGGAGAAGGAAAAGAAGCACGUGGCCCAACACUUGAAGCAGCAAGUAGGGCACCUCGGGAUUGCUGGAGGGGGGCUGCCACACACAGUUAAAAAAAAGAAGGAGGACUGUUACAUUGAGGGGGGCUGGAACAGGAGCACGUUGUUGCAGCCACCACACACUCAUUUUCGUUUCUUUGAAGAUUUAGGGACACGGUUGAGCUCUAGGGGGUUGUCAUUAUUUUCUUUACUUUCUGCUUGAACUGAGAAGAGAUUUUUAAUUUCAAAAGUCUUUUCAUUUAAAUAUAUUCCACUUGGUAAUGAUUUGCAUUC